UACGUAGGGGGCAAGCGUUGUCCGGAAUUAUUGGGCGUAAAGAGCUCGUAGGCGGCUUGUCGCGUCGACUGUGAAAACCCGCAGCUCAACCGCGGGCCUGCAGCCGAUACGGGCAGGCUAGAGUUCGGUAGGGGAGACUGGAAUUCCUGGUGUAGCGGUGAAAUGCGUAGAUAUCUGGAGGAAUACCGGUGGCGAAGGCGGCAUCCUGGACCGACAUUGACGCUGAGGAGCGAAAGCUAGGGGAGCAAACGGG
rnacentral:rRNA from 1 species